rnacentral:lncRNA from 1 species
AUAUUCUGUGGAAGCCAGAGGGCUCUUGGGACACACUACAUGCCACUUAAGUCUUUAUUAAAAUUUAGGCCCUCUGGGAGAAAUGGAGAGGUCUGAGGAAUGAAGGUUGGAAGUCUCUGUCACUGAGUAUACAAUCUUGAGACAUAAAAGAGGCAAAGUCUUCUUUAGGGUCUUUGAAAACAGAUUUCAGUAAUAGUUAAAAGCAAUCAUUCCACACAAGCCUGAGACUACUCUCUAUAACUUGUCCAGUGUGGUACUUCUUUUCUGAUCAAAGAAAAAAUUAAUUUAAGCCAAUUAAUAAUUUGGUGACAUUUGAGUGUUAACGCUCAGGUAAAGAGAUACCUUCCAGGAAGUUCCCAUUGUGACUCAGCAGAAGCAAAUCCAACUAGUAUCCAUGAGGGUGCAGGUUCAAUUCCUGGCCUUGCUCAGUCGGUUAAGUAUGCAGAGUUGCCAUGAGCUGUGGUGUAGGUUGCAGAUGUGUCUCGGAUCCUGCGUUGCUGUGGCUGUGGCCGGCAGCUGCAGUUCUGAUUUGAACCCUAGCCUGGGAACUUCCAUGUGCCACAAGUGCAACACUAAGAAGCAGAAAAAAAAAAAAAAGAAAAGAAAAAAGAGAGAUGCCUAUUCCAAAAUAAACUGAAUAUAAUAUUGAGCUGCAUUUCCAGAUGAGUGGUUAAAAUAUCCUUAUGUUGGUAAACUGUCAAAAUUUUGUCAGAGCUUUCUCCAUUUAAAAAAAUUCAUCAUAUUUAUUUCACUUUUUUCAUUUUCUAAGUUGUAAUAUCUCAUUCUUUUCCUGGGACAACUAUUAAAGGCCUAAUAGUUGUGCCUAUAGUUGUUCAGUUGCCACAUAGGCAACUGAAAUAAAGUGUGGUAAGGGCUUGUAAGGGGAUCCAAACAAGGGGCUAUAAGAAAAUGAGAGAAAUGAAUACACUCAAUCCUUAGUUUCAGUUCGUAUUUUAUCUUAAAUAUAUCCAGGUUUGUUUCAUGUUCCAUCAAAUAUAUGAGUGCUUACUAUGUGCUUGCUGUUGUACCAGAUUUAUUGGGAGUAAUAAAAGAAAUAUACAAAGUGAAAAACUUCUUGGGUAAAUAGUAAACUGGCUUUGAACUGGCCCCUCUUUGGGGCCAUUGGUGAUUUUAGAGAAGAAAUACGCUGGAGAUGAAAUAAAGCAAUUUCACUUGACUACACUUUAAGUAGCUUCCUGGUAGCUCCUUUCAAGUUAUUCUCUUAUAGGAUGAAAAUAUCUCAAAGUGUAGAUUAACUUUAAAAAAAGUUUUAUGAACAACUAUAAUUACUGGGGAAACUAUUUCCAUAAUUGGGGGGCCAGUUGGUGGUGGCUAAAUCAACACAAAUGAUGGCAGUUCCAAUGCCAAGAACAGUUUUUGAGAAGGUGAGAGCAGGGUACCAGCUGUCACCAUUGGGCUAGGGGCCCAUAGGGAAACUGACGACAGUAAUAGGUACCACUGACUGAGCACCUACUCUGAGCCUGGCAAGUUGCCAAGCACAGCAGUCUAUGCAUUAUAGCUAACCCUCACAACUUUGAUCUAAGAUUGAUCCUAUCCACAUUUUGCAAGUGAAAACACUGGGGCUUGGAGGAAUGAGGUAGCUUCUCAUAGUUAUGCUACUAAGUAGUGGCCGAAUCUGGUUUGCAUCCGAAACCCAUGAUCUUUCUGUCACACCCUGAUGCUCUUGAAAGUGAGGAUACUUGGAAGGACAGGUGAUCUAGGAACUUUUGGAGCAUGGAGGUCCUGAAGGGAAAGACUGAUUUUCUUGUUUUUCGGAAUCAUCUGAAGGCUGGCAUGGUCUGGGGAUACUGGUAGGUAGGCAGUGAGUACUGGUUAAAUUAAAUUGAAAAGAGUUUAUAUCAGUGGCACAGUCUAAGCCCAACCCUCUCACCUGCAAGGCAUCCACGAACCUUUUGUUCACUCUAGCGCUGAUUUCCCACCUCCUGUGGCUGCUGAGUGAAGUUCUCAGGGUCACUUCUAAAGAAAAGCGGUAUCCACUAAGUGUCUAUCUGAUGUUUUAAGGGUUGAGCAGAGGCUAACAGGGCCUAUCGAAGGUGGAAAAUCAGUCUCAACAAGAAGAGAAGUGUGAUUGCAGUUUUCAAUGUGCUUUAUGCCCAAGCCUGGCUCAGCAGGCUGGGAAUCAGGGGUUAAAACCACCACUGCCACUCCCGUAGACACACAGCACCUACCAUCACUUUUUCCUCCUCUUCUCUGGGAACACUCCCAUAUCACCAAGAGAGACACCUGCAUCUUCCCUACAUUUAUACCGGCCCCAGCAAACCCUGCUUAGCUCUUCAACAACGCUAUUCACCUGGCCCCUCCACCAUGACCACCUCUCCUGCUGUCCACCUCUCAGUCCUUCCAUGGGUAUCCGUGCCCACUGGGCUCUCUCUGCCUCCGCUAGAACUGGGGACUGCCCUUAAUUAAGGCCAGCAGAUUCCACAGUCUAACCCUUAGGUAUUCUCCCCAAGAACCAUUCUCUAAAAGCAGCUUGGAUUUUAAGCUUACAAUUCACAUGUUGUUCCAGAGCUGACAUUAAAAAAAAAUUAUAAGCCCUUUCAAAUAACAAAUGCUUGUGAUCAAAAUAUGGUACAAAAUAAACUUUUAGAGUCUUUGUCACGAGUUGGUGCUAGGUCAUGGGAGCCGACAGUCAUAAGUGGCCAGGAACGGUAUCUCCUCUCUAACUGUCCUGCCAAAUCUGUCCAUGGGGGCCAUUCCAAAAAGAGGAAAAAUCAGCUGUAAAUCCUCAGAGAUUUCAAUAUUUUAAACACUAACAAAGUGAGAGGCCACAAGUUUCCCUGUGAACAUGCCUUAUUAUAGGGAGGGAUGUUUCUAGGAUUUUGGACAAAAGAAAGAGGUCUGAAUUCCAGAAGCUCUGGUGGGUUGUGAGUCAUUGGGAGCAAAGUCCACCAUUUUUUCUUGAUUCGAAGCGGUACGGGGGUACAUGAUGUGCAGAGGAGCUGCAGGAGAAUUUUCAAAGGGCUGCCAAUCCCACCAACGUUGCUUUUCUCUGUCUUUGCCCCUUCUGUCCCCCUCAGUCUCUCCAAUUUUCAUCCCUUUCCCCCACCACUGCAGUGUAAUUUGCUAUUGAAUACAUUCUCUGAGCUUUCUGAUUUUAAGAAUUUAAUUUUUUAUUCUCUGUCCUUUAAAAUGAUUUCCUAACAUUCACUUUUUACUGUAGGAAGUGUGCCCUCUAUUUAUUUUCAAUCUUAGGUAAUUUAAAGGGAUGACUUGGUUUUCCAAGUAGAACACAUACCUUCUUGUUUUAAUAUACCCUCCUGGAUAUUUAUAAGAGGGCGACUGCAGACAAGAAAGGAGAAAUGAAUAGGGAUGAAGGCCAUUCAUCCUCUGCUGGCAACAUCUACUUGUCCCUCUGCUUGUCUUGCCUGCCAUACAAAACUCUGACUUUUCUUGUACCAGCCCCACUUUGCUCCUUCAUGUAUUUACACGGAACACACAUGCUCAACCUAACUCUCCUGUUUUAUAUCAUUUCGCUCAGUCAUCACUUCCACUCUUCAACUGAAAGACUUUUCUGUUUACUUUGACCAAAUCACAUGAUGUGAGAUAAAUGUUCAAAUCCAUCUUUAUGGGCAUUUAAAGAUUGCAACACUCCUUUUACAAGGCAGCUCUUUGAUUCCAAAAUGGAUAAGCUACAAAGCUACAGUUGGCCUCCAUCACCGCUGCAAAGGGACAGGGUCCUAAAGUUAGUUUUGCUCAUAAAAAGGUAAACAAUGACACACAGAUAGGAAAACAAACAGAACCAGAGUGUGCCCAGCAGAACCCUGGUAGUGGCUAUUGGACUGGUGUCCCUGUAGCGGAAUGCUGACCUUCGGAGACCAAGUAUGGACAAGUGCUGAGAGUUAUCAGCCCAUUAUAUUAUGUAACCAGUCCUGUCUAUAAUAACAACACUGGAAACAAGUGCUGACAUUUAUCAAACAUGUAGUAGACGUUCAGUAUAAUUCUGGUGCCACACCUGAGUUAUUAACCUAAUUCUCACAACAGCCAUUAGGACUUAUUCCUAUCCUUCAGAUGAGGAUGCUGAAGCACAGAGAGGUUGUACCACUUGUCCCAGAUCACACAACCAGAACGUGGCAAAGCUGGGAUUAAAACACCAACUGGGCUCGAGAGCCCCUGUUCUUAGCCACUAUACUCUGCCACUUCUCCCAGGAUAGGUGCUUUCCCUGCUCUCCAUAAAAGCCUUCAGAAAUCCAGUACUGACUGAGGGAGCUAUCUCUGUUGCCUCCUGGAACUACGUGGAGCCUUCUCACCUGGAGCCAAACCUGUCUGUCCCUCACUCCUUACUUUAGUCUUCUUUCCACCUCUGGAGCCAUCCAGAACAUGGCUUUGUCUCUUUUUCUCCUCCUAAAAAUCUCUAGAGAUUUGAAGAUAUCAAUCGAUCCUAUCAAUUGCACCUGAACAUUAUCUUCCAGGUUAAUGGAAGUCAUCCUGUCCUAAUAGAAAAACGGCACUGGAAAAUUAAACAACUCUCCACCUCCUGAGGCUCUAGUUGAAAGUAUAAGUCUAAAGUUGGGUGCAUCAUAUGAUAUUGCUUAGAUGUAG